CUAACGCGUUAAAUCGACGCUGGGGAGUACGGCCGCAAGGUUAAAACUCAAAUGAAUUGACGGGGGCCCGCACAAGCGGUGGAGCAUGUGGUUUAAUUCGAUGCAACGCGAAGAACCUUACCUGGUCUUGACAUCCAUAGAAUCUUUCAGAGAUGAGAGAGUGCCUUCGGGAGCUAUGAGACAGGUGCUGCAUGGCUGUCGUCAGCUCGUGUUGUGAAAUGUUGGGUUAAGUCCCGCAACGAGCGCAACCCCUAUCCUUUGUUGCCAGCACGUAAUGGUGGGAACUCAAAGGAGACUGCCGUUGAUAAAGCGGAGGAAGGUGGGGACGACGUCAAGUCAUCAUGGCCCUUACGACCAGGGCUACACACGUGCUACAAUGGCGUAUACAAAGGGAUGCGAAGGUGCGAACUGGAGCGGACCUCACAAAGUACGUCUAAGUCCGGAUUGGAGUCUGCAACUCGACUCCAUGAAGUCGGAAUCGCUAGUAAUCGUGAAUCAGAAUGUCACGGUGAAUACGUUCCCGGGCCUUGUACACACCGCCCGUCACACCAUGGGAGUGGGUUGCACCAGAAGUAGAUAGCUUAACCUUCGGGAGGGCGUUUACCACGGUGUGGUUCAUGACUGGGGUGAAGUCGUAACAAGGUAACCA
rnacentral:rRNA from 1 species